rnacentral:misc_RNA from 1 species
UGUGGGAGCGGGCUUGCUCGCGAUGGCGGCAUGCCAGCUGAUGCAUUCGGUGGCUGAUACACCGCUAUCGCGAGCAAGCCCGCUCCCACA